UCCAUUGUGAGAUGGAAUCUGAAGGAAGCCUACGGCAAAAUCCCGAACUGACGAACAGAAAUUGUAUAUAAGGCUGAAUUGGAACGGACGAGUUUGCGAAACCUAACGAAGUCCGAUACUGCCCGAAUUCCAUACAGUAGAUACAACAGUUACAUGGGAGGAAGGUUGUAGCA
rfam:Sporosarcina sp. P33, complete genome.